rnacentral:misc_RNA from 1 species
UCUCCGUAGGUGAACCUGCGGAGGGAUCAUUACUGAGUGAGGGCUCCGGCCCGACCUCCAACCCCAUGUGAACCGAAACCUGUUGCUUCGGGGGCGACCCUGCCUUUCGGUGCGGCGCCCCCGGAGGCCUUCAAACACUGCAUCUUUGCGUCGGAGUUUAAGUAAAUUAAACAAAACUUUCAACAACGGAUCUCUUGGUUCUGGCAUCGAUGAAGAACGCAGC